UACGGGGGGGGCAAGCGUUGUUCGGAAUUACUGGGCGUAAAGCGUGCGCAGGCGGUUUUGUAAGCCAGAUGUGAAAUCCCCGGGCUCAACCUGGGAAUGGCAUUUGGGACUGCAAGGCUGGAGUGCGGCAGAGGAGACUGGAAUUCCCGGUGUAGCAGUGAAAUGCGUAGAUAUCGGGAGGAAUACCGAUGGCGAAGGCAGGUCUCUGGGCUGACACUGACGCUCAUGCACGAAAGCGUGGGGAGCAAACAGG
rnacentral:rRNA from 1 species